UAGAGAAUGCCUCGUAGAAUUUGUUGUAAUCUUCCUUGUUUUCAGCAAUCUCAAAGAAGAGUUCAAUGCACUUCUUCACCAAGUUCUUACGGAUAACUUUCAGGAUCUUGUUCUGUUGCAGCAUCUCUCUUGAGAUGUUGAGGGGAAGGUCCUCAGAAUCAACAAUACCCUUCACAAAUCCAAGAUACUCAGGAAUUAACUCCUCACAAUUGUCCAUGAUGAAAACACGUCUCACAUAGAGCUUGAUGUUAUUGGGCUUCUUCCUUGUGUCAAACAGAUCAAAAGGUGCCCUCUUAGGAGCAUAGAGGAUAGCCUUGAACUCAAGUUGGCCUUCAACUGAGAAGUGCUUAACAGCCAAAUGCUCCUCCCAAUCAUUGGUAAGGCUCUUGUAGAAAGCAGCAUAUUCUUCCUUAGAGAUCUCCUCUGGCUUCCUCAUCCAGAUUGGUUUCUGUUUGUUCACCAACGACCACUCAUGGGACACCUCCUUGAUCUUCUUCUUCUUCUUCUCUUCUUUUUCUUUCUCCUCGUCAACAUCUUCAACCUUCCCUUCCUCAUCCUUCUUCUCUUCCUCAUCCUCAUCAUCAGAGAUCUCCUUCUCGGUAGUCUUCUCAAUCCAGAGAGAGAUUGGAUAGCUAAUAAACUCUGAGUGCUUCUUGAUCAGGUCCUUCAGGCGGCGUUCCUCAAGGUACUCAAGUUGGUCUUCCUUGAGGAAGAGGGUAAUUUUUGUGCCCCUACCAAGAUUCUCACCGGAGGCAUCUCUGGUAACAGUAAAUGAUCCUCCAGCCUGGGACUCCCAAACAUACUGUUCAU
rnacentral:lncRNA from 1 species